rnacentral:rRNA from 1 species
AUUGAACGCUGGCGGCAGGCCUAACACAUGCAAGUCGAACGAGUGGCGGACGGGUGAGUAAUGUCUGGGAAACUGCCCGAUGGAGGGGGAUAACUACUGGAAACGGUAGCUAAUACCGCAUACCAUCGGAUGUGCCCAGAUGGGAUUAGCUAGUAGGUGGGGUAACGGCUCACCUAGGCGACGAUCCCUAGCUGGUCUGAGAGGAUGAACAUCCACACUGGAACUGAGACCCGGUCCAGACUCCUACGUGAGGCAGCAGUGGGGAAUAUUGCACAAUGGGCGCAAGCCUGAUGCAGCCAUGCCGCGUGUAUGAAGAAGGCCUUCGGGUUGUAAAGUACUUUCAGCGAGUAGGCGUUACUCGCAGAAGAAGCACCGGCUAACUACGUGCCAGCAGCCGCGGUAAUAC